CGCACAUUGCGCCCCUCGGUAUUCCGGGGGGCAUGCCUGUUCGAGCGUCAUUGCACCCUUCAAGCGUCAGCUUGGUCAUGGGCGCUCGCCCCGCGAGGGGCGUGCCCGAAAACGAGUGGCGGUCCGGCGAGACUUCGGGCGUAGUAAACUUUUUUCCCGCCCUGGAAGCUCUCCCUCGGGUCGGCCAGCAACCUUCUAUCACCAAUGAUUUGACCUCGGAUCAGGUAGGGAUACCCGCUGAACUUAA
rnacentral:misc_RNA from 1 species